GUGCUUGCUUCGGCAGCACAUAUACUAACAUUGGAAUGAUAUAGAGACCAUUAGCAUGGCCCCUGCCCUGCGCAAGGAUGAUACGCAAAUUUAUUAAGUGUUCCAUAUUUAA